UCCCUGGUGGUCCAGUGGUUAGGACGCAUCACUUUUGCUGCUCGCGCCCAGGUUCAAUCCCUGGUCAGGGAA